rnacentral:rRNA from 1 species
GACGAACGCUGGCGGCGUGCUUAACACAUGCAAGUCGAACGGAAAGGCCCUGCUUUUGUGGGGUGCUCGAGUGGCGAACGGGGGAGUAACACGUGAGUAACCUGCCCUUGACUUUGGGAUAACUUCAGGAAACUGGGGCUAAUACCGGAUAGGAGCUCCUGCUGCAUGGUGGGGGUUGGAAAGUUUCGGCGGUUGGGGAUGGACUCGCGGCUUAUCAGCUUGUUGGUGGGGUAGUGGCUUACCAAGGCUUUGACGGGUAGCCGGCCUGAGAGGGUGACCGGGCACAUUGGGCCUGAGAUACGGCCCAGACUCCUACGGGAGGCAACAGUGGGAAAUAUUGCACAGUGGGCCGACGCCUGAUACAGCAGCGCCGCGUGCGGAAUGACCGCCUUCGGGUUGUAAACCGCUUUCGCCUGUGACGAAGCGUGAGUGACGGUAAUGGGUAAAGAAGCACCGGCUAACUACGUG